rnacentral:lncRNA from 1 species
GGUGCUGGUCUGUGAGGUGGAGCUGAGGGUCUAAGGUUCCCUGUUGCCUGAGAGAAGGUGCAGAAGCUCCUCUCCACUAGCUGUACCUUGGCCAGAACGGCCGAAUAAGUCCUGAGCUCCAGUACAAAUAAAUGUUGUCUGAUCUCUGGGUGGAAACCGCACUCAAACCUUCUAGCCUUCCUGCCUUCAUCCAACAAAGUCUCAUGGGCAUAUCAGCCCAACUUUAGAAACUUGCGAGUAUAUUCUGACACAAUCAUGUUCCCAUAGACCAAUUGUACAAACUCUAUCUCUUUCAGAUGUGGAGAUGCUCUGGAAGGUAUUCUGUAUGAAAAGCCGCUAGAAAUUGUUCCCAAGUAAUUGGAACAGGCAGGGUGGUCUGUUUGAGUUCCCACCAGCGGUCUGCUUCUCCCACUAGCAUGUAGGUAGCAAGGGUGAAUUUUUGUUCGAGAGUCACUCCCAAGGUCUUGAAAGAAGGCCUCUGUCUCCACUAACCAAUACUCGGCAUCUUCAAAAGAAGAUCUUCCUGUAAAAGUAGAUGUGUUUAAUCUCUUAUACCUCUCUAUCUAGUCUGAGUCCAUCAUGGGAGGAGCUGGGUCCCGUGGAAGAGGGAUUGGGUCAUGUUGAGGAUGGACUGGGUGGCCCUGUAGUGGUACUUGCUGAUACGAUGGGGGCACCAGAUUGUACUGUGGUGGUACCGGGUGGUACUAUAGCUAGGGCACUGAAUCAUAUUGUGGUGGUAUAGGGUGGUAUUGUAGAGGAGCAGGGUCGUACUAGGGUGGCUCGGGAUCCUUUCGUUGCAGGGGUGGCCCAACUUGUGGUAGUGGAGGAGGAUCAGGUAGCUCCCUCCUUUCCUCCCGGCCCUGCUGGGCAGCAAUGAGUCUCUCCAGCAUCUCAAAUAUCUGGUCAACAUCUUUUCUAAGCGAG